rnacentral:rRNA from 1 species
AGUAAUACUUGACCUAGAGCGGCGCACGGGUGCGUAACGCGUAUGCAACCUACCUUUUACUGGGGGAUAGCCCGGAGAAAUCUGGAUUAAUACCCCAUAGUACCUAAGGAUCGAUUGGUUUUUAGUUUAAAGAUUUAUCGGUAAAAGAUGGGCAUGCGUCUGAUUAGCUAGUUGGCGGGGUAACGGCCCACCAAGGCGACGAUCAGUAGGGGUUCUGAGAGGAAGGUCCCCCACACUGGCACUGAGAUACGGGCCAGACUCCUACGGGAGGCAGCAGUAGGGAAUAUUGGGCAAUGGUCGCAAGACUGACCCAGCCAUGCCGCGUGCAGGAAGACGGCCCUCUGGGUUGUAAACUGCUUUUAUCUGGGACGAAAAAGUCCAUGCGUGGAAAAUUGCCGGUACCAGAUGAAUAAGCACCGGCUAACUCCGUGCCAGCAGCCGCGGUAAUACGGAGGGUGCAAGCGUUGUCCGGAUUUAUUGGGUUUAAAGGGUGCGUAGGCGGCUGAAUAAGUCAGCGGUGAAAGACUUCGGCUUAACCGGAGCAGUGCCGUUGAUACUGUUUAGCUUGAGUGUUGGAGGGGUACAUGGAAUUGAUGGUGUAGCGGUGAAAUGCAUAGAUACCAUCAGGAACACCGAUAGCGAAGGCAUUGUACUGGCCAACAACUGACGCUG